AGAGUUUGAUCAUGGCUCAGAUUGAACGCUGGCGGCAGGCCUAACACAUGCAAGUCGAACGGUAACAGAAAGCAGCUUGCUGCUUUGCUGACGAGUGGCGGACGGGUGAGUAAUGUCUGGGAAACUGCCUGAUGGAGGGGGAUAACUACUGGAAACGGUAGCUAAUACCGCAUAACGUCGCAAGACCAAAGAGGGGGACCUUCGGGCCUCUUGCCAUCGGAUGUGCCCAGAUGGGAUUAGCUUGUUGGUGGGGUAACGGCUCACCAAGGCGACGAUCCCUAGCUGGUCUGAGAGGAUGACCAGCCACACUGGAACUGAGACACGGUCCAGACUCCUACGGGAGGCAGCAGUGGGGAAUAUUGCACAAUGGGCGCAAGCCUGAUGCAGCCAUGCCGCGUGUAUGAAGAAGGCCUUCGGGUUGUAAAGUACUUUCAGCGGGGAGGAAGGGAGUAAAGUUAAUACCUUUGCUCAUUGACGUUACCCGCAGAAGAAGCACCGGCUAACUCCGUGCCAGCAGCCGCGGUAAUACGGAGGGUGCAAGCGUUAAUCGGAAUUACUGGGCGUAAAGCGCACGCAGGCGGUUUGUUAAGUCAGAUGUGAAAUCCCCGGGCUCAACCUGGGAACUGCAUCUGAUACUGGCAAGCUUGAGUCUCGUAGAGGGGGGUAGAAUUCCAGGUGUAGCGGUGAAAUGCGUAGAGAUCUGGAGGAAUACCGGUGGCGAAGGCGGCCCCCUGGACGAAGACUGACGCUCAGGUGCGAAAGCGUGGGGAGCAAACAGGAUUAGAUACCCUGGUAGUCCACGCCGUAAACAAUGUCGACUUGGAGGUUGUGCCCUUGAGGCGUGGCUUCCGGAGCUAACGCGUUAAGUCGACCGCCUGGGGAGUACGGCCGCAAGGUUAAAACUCAAAUGAAUUGACGGGGGCCCGCACAAGCGGUGGAGCAUGUGGUUUAAUUCGAUGCAACGCGAAGAACCUUACCUGGUCUUGACAUCCACGGAAGUUUUCAGAGAUGAGAAUGUGCCUUCGGGAACCGUGAGACAGGUGCUGCAUGGCUGUCGUCAGCUCGUGUUGUGAAAUGUUGGGUUAAGUCCCGCAACGAGCGCAACCCUUAUCCUUUGUUGCCAGCGGUCCGGCCGGGAACUCAAAGGAGACUGCCAGUGAUAAACUGGAGGAAGGUGGGGAUGACGUCAAGUCAUCAUGGCCCUUACGACCAGGGCUACACACGUGCUACAAUGGCGCAUACAAAGAGAAGCGACCUCGCGAGAGCAAGCGGACCUCAUAAAGUGCGUCGUAGUCCGGAUUGGAGUCUGCAACUCGACUCCAUGAAGUCGGAAUCGCUAGUAAUCGUGGAUCAGAAUGCCACGGUGAAUACGUUCCCGGGCCUUGUACACACCGCCCGUCACACCAUGGGAGUGGGUUGCAAAAGAAGUAGGUAGCUUAACCUUCGGGAGGGCGCUUACCACUUUGUGAUUCAUGACUGGGGUGAAGUCGUAACAAGGUAACCGUAGGGGAACCUGCGGUUG
rnacentral:rRNA from 1 species